UACGAAGGGUGCAAACGUUGCUCGGAAUCAUUGGGCGUAAAGCGCACGUAGGCGGCUCCAAAAGUCGGAUGUGAAAUACCUGGGCUCAACCGAGGAAGUGCAUCCGAAACUGCGGAGCUUGAGUAUGGAAGAGGGUCGCGGAAUUCCCGGUGUAGAGGUGAAAUUCGUAGAUAUCAGGAGGAACACCAGUGGCGAAGGCGGCAUCCUGGACCGGCAUUGACGCUGAGGCGCGAAAGCUAGGGGAGCAAACGGG
rnacentral:rRNA from 1 species